GACGAACGCUGGCGGCGUGCCUAAUACAUGCAAGUAGAACGCUGAAGGAGGAGCUUGCUUCUCUGGAUGAGUUGCGAACGGGUGAGUAACGCGUAGGUAACCUGCCUGGUAGCGGGGGAUAACUAUUGGAAACGAUAGCUAAUACCGCAUAAGAGUGGAUGUUGCAUGACAUUUGCUUAAAAGGUGCACUUGCAUCACUACCAGAUGGACCUGCGUUGUAUUAGCUAGUUGGUGGGGUAACGGCUCACCAAGGCGACGAUACAUAGCCGACCUGAGAGGGUGAUCGGCCACACUGGGACUGAGACACGGCCCAGACUCCUACGGGAGGCAGCAGUAGGGAAUCUUCGGCAAUGGACGGAAGUCUGACCGAGCAACGCCGCGUGAGUGAAGAAGGUUUUCGGAUCGUAAAGCUCUGUUGUAAGAGAAGAACGAGUGUGAGAGUGGAAAGUUCACACUGUGACGUAUCUACCAGAAAGGAC
rnacentral:rRNA from 1 species